AGGAGCGGCACUUGGAAAGUGACCUCAAGCAUCGCCAGUUAAGCAUGUUUGCGUGAGAGUAGUACUAGGAUGGGUGACCUCGUGAAAAAUCAUUGUGUUGCAUUCC
rnacentral:rRNA from 1 species